CCUGCUUUAUGGUGGUCAGCGUGUCACGGGUCAGUUUGCAGAUCAGGCAGUUGCGGGUCAGCGUCAGGCCUGCACAGGAGAUUUCUUGAUAGGUAGGGGGCAGAGGAGAGCGCAAGAAGGAGGAAGCCGGAAGCAGAUGGAGACAGGAGGAAGCCCAGUGGCAGAACCCCCUCAAGGCCGCUGGCGGUAUGGCAGUGCUGCUCCAAUCACGCUCACGGUGUGUUUGCAACACCGGCACAGGAUUUCCACUGCAAGUGUAAAAUUACUAAUAAUGCAACCGAGUAGAGUCUCUCUCCCCAUGUAUCAUUGCUCUGGGGCGGUGGGUUUUGGAGCGAGGCAAAACUAAGGAGAAGUUUCUUCCCCCAGGUAUGACAUGAGCUGACCCCGUGUGCUGGUGCCUUUACUCAGUUUCGGGAGGAUCCAUGGACUGUGGUGAUGGGGCACCAAGUGCAACUUUCUGCUGCUGCCGUUUCUGGCUUCUCUGUAUUUAAUGGCAGCACUUAGCAGGCGGCAGGUGUCAGUACCUGACCCUGGAAAGGGAGCAGCUGUCCCUGUGCCGUGGAGGGAGAUGAUACUUAGGGGUCGGAGAAGUGCAGAACCAGUAGGGGCACCAGGUGCUGAGCUGAAUAGUCUUUUAGUUGAGAGCGGUGCUGGGAUGACAGGGGUGCAGUCAUAGACAGUGCAGUGGUGGCUACUGAUGGGCUUCUUGCUACCUGGUAUGUGGAAGCCCUUAGUAAUGUCCAACCUGCAGCCCUCCUGCUUCCAGUACUUCUACUUCUGUGUUUGAAGCCCUGUAACAACUGGAGGCCCACAGGAUGGACAUCAUUGUCAUGUACACUGGCUAAAGUUACACAUAAUGGUGGUAUUUAUACAUGAAAUUGCCCCUGUGCCAUCCUGCAAUGAUUUCUGGGACUAUUUAUACAUGGAUCUGCUACUGUGUUCAUUCUUCAGUUUUUAUUUUAAUUUCUUCUGACCUGGCUUUCAAAUGGGGGUCACAGAGUAGUCCCCAGGUAGCCCAUAAACUGUUGUACUAGGGGCUGUAUUUUUAAGAGAUUAAUUUUGUUGUCCUUGGUAUUUUUUACUGAUCUUCUAUUUUGGUAUCUGCAGCUCAUAUUCCAGUUUCUCAUUGAAACCACUACUUGGUUGGUAGGGUCAAUUGCACCCUAGCAACCAGAUAGCUGUUAAAAUUACAAACUGAACAGCUGCUGAAUAAAAAGCUAUAUAACUAAAAGCCGCAAAUAAUAAAAAAUGAAAAGCAAUUGCAGAUUGUCUCAGAAUAUCCCUCUCUACGUCCUACUAAAAGUUAUUUUAAAGGUAAAGAACCCCCUUUAAUGAACAGGGAGCUCCAGUUUCACUACUUAAUCAGAUUAAUGUUUUCUCAGAGUUACUCUUGGCUCUGCCUUACUGCCAAUUUGCCACAAACACAGACAAGGUCACAGAGACUUUCUGUUCAUUGUCCAUGUUUUAUUGAUCUUGCUUGUCUGGGAUUAAUGGAGUGUCACGAUCGCCGCCCGGAGCAGGUCCAGGAGCUCCGGUCGGCGCGUCCU